CGAAAUGCGAUAAGUAAUGUGAAUUGCAGAAUUCAGUGAAUCAUCGAAUCUUUGAACGCACAUUGCGCCCGCCAGUAUUCUGGCGGGCAUGCCUGUCCGAGCGUCAUUUCAACCAUCAAGCCCCCGGGCUUGUGUUGGGGACCUGCGGCUGCCCGCAGGCCCUGAAAACCAGUGGCGGGCUCGCUGUCACACCGAGCGUAGUAGCAAUCACCUCGCUCAGGGCGUGCUGCGGGUUCCGGCCGUUAAACAGCCUUACAAAACCCAAGGUUGACCUCGGAUCAGGUAGGAAGACCCGCUGAACUUAAGU
rnacentral:misc_RNA from 1 species